rnacentral:sRNA from 1 species
GCCUAGACCUGAUCGAAAUGAAAAGCCUCUUGUAGUUCAACUGAAUGUUUUACUUGUACUAGCAGAGCUUCGUCCUCACCCCAGCCCCUCUCCGAAGGAUAGGGUAGCUAUUAGCUCCUGCUAGUGCUUUAGUGAAAAUCGGUUGAGUCACAAGAGCUUGUAAUGAAGAGCAGGAUUUUGU